rnacentral:ncRNA from 1 species
GCUGCCGACCGCGACUGGCGAAGGUGGGAUCGACCACCGGGGAGCGGUCGAUCGACCUGCUGGUGCGUCGUCCGCCUGGGCGCCAAGG